rnacentral:rRNA from 1 species
UACAGAGGGGGCAAGCGUUGUGCGGAAUUACUGGGCGUAAAGGGCGCGUAGGCGGCCUUCUAAGUCAGACGGGAAAUCCCUCGGCUCAACCGGGGAACUGCGUCUGAGACUGGAAGGCUUGAAUCCGGGAGAGGGAUGUGGAAUUCCAGGUGUAGCGGUGAAAUGCGUAGAUAUCUGGAGGAACACCGGUGGCGAAGGCGGCAUCCUGGACCGGUAUUGACGCUGAGGCGCGAAAGCCAGGGGAGCAAACGGG